rnacentral:misc_RNA from 1 species
GUGAAUCAUCAAAUCUUUGAACGCAAAUGGCACUCUCUGGUAUUCCGGAGAGUAUGCCUGUUUGAGGGUUAGUGUAAAUAAAUAUCGGUGUAGUUGCUGCCUUUCGUGGUGACGCAUCGGAUUUGGGUCGUCGUGCCUUCGGGGAAGUGACCUAAAAUUUUGCAUGAUUUUUUUCUAACGUAUUUAAAUGUUUUUACGUACGUUUGCUAUAACGAAUACUAGGUGUGGUCAUCCUCAUUAUUCGCU